UACGGAGGGGGCUAGCGUUGCUCGGAAUCACUGGGCGUAAAGGGUGCGUAGGCGGGUCUUUUAAGUCAGGGGUGAAAUCCUGGAGCUCAACUCCAGAACUGCCUUUGAUACUGAAGAUCUUGAGUUCGGGAGAGGUGAGUGGAACUGCGAGUGUAGAGGUGAAAUUCGUAGAUAUUCGCAAGAACACCAGUGGCGAAGGCGGCUCACUGGUCCGGUUCUGACGCUGAGGAGCGAAAGCGUGGGUAGCAAACAGG
rnacentral:rRNA from 1 species